UACGGAGGGUGCAAGCGUUAUCCGGAUUUAUUGGGUUUAAAGGGUCCGUAGGCGGAUUAAUAAGUCAGUGGUGAAAGCCCAUCGCUUAACGAUGGAACUGCCAUUGAUACUGUUAGUCUUGAGUGAGGUUGCAGUGGCUGGAAUGUGUAGUGUAGCGGUGAAAUGCGUAGAUAUUACGCAGAACACCGAUUGCGAAGGCAGGUCACUAAGCCUCAACUGACGCUGAGGGACGAAAGCGUGGGGAGCGAACAGG
rnacentral:rRNA from 1 species